GGCGUAAGAGCUCGUAGGCGGUUUGUCGCGUCUGCCGUGAAAGUCCGAGGCUCAACCUCGGAUCUGCGGUGGGUACGGGCAGACUAGAGUGAUGUAGGGGAGACUGGAAUUCCUGGUGUAGCGGUGAAAUGCGCAGAUAUCAGGAGGAACACCGAUGGCGAAGGCAGGUCUCUGGGCAUCUACUGACGCUGAGGAGCGAAAGCAUGGGGAGCGAACAGGAUUAGAUACCCUGGUAGUCCAUGCCGUAAACGUUGGGCACUAGGUGUGGGGAACAUUCCACGUUUUCCGCGCCGUAGCUAACGCAUUAAGUGCCCCGCCUGGGGAGUACGGCCGCAAGGCUAAAACUCAAAGGAAUUGACGGGGGCCCGCACAAGCGGCGGAGCAUGCGGAUUAAUUCGAUGCAACGCGAAGAACCUUACCAAGGCUUGACAUGUUCCAGACCGCCUCAGAGAUGGGGUUUCCCUUCGGGGCUGGUUCACAGGUGGUGCAUGGUUGUCGUCAGCUCGUGUCGUGAGAUGUUGGGUUAAGUCCCGCAACGAGCGCAACCCUCGUUCCAUGUUGCCAGCACGUAAAGGUGGGGACUCAUGGGAGACUGCCGGGGUCAACUCGGAGGAAGGUGGGGAUGACGUCAAAUCAUCAUGCCCCUUAUGUCUUGGGCUUCACGCAUGCUACAAUGGCCGGUACAAUGGGUUGCGAUACUGUGAGGUGGAGCUAAUCCCUAAAAGCCGGUCUCAGUUCGGAUUGGGGGUCUGCAACUCGACCCCAUGAAGUCGGGAGUCGCUAGUAAUCGCAG
rnacentral:rRNA from 1 species